rnacentral:rRNA from 1 species
UACAGAGGUCUCAAGCGUUUGUUCGGAUUCAUUGGGCGUAAAGGGUGCGUAGGCGGCGCGGUAAGUCGGGUGUGAAAUCUCGGAGCUUAACUCCGAAACUGCAUUCGAUACUGCCGUGCUUGAGGACUGGAGAGGAGACUGGAAUUUACGGUGUAGCGGUGAAAUGGCGUAGAGAUCUGGAAGAACACCAAAGGCGAAGGCAGCAUCCUGGGAAGUAACUGACGCUCAUGUGCGAAAGCUAGGGGAGCGAACGGG